UACGGGGGGGGCAAGCGUUGUUCGGAAUUACUGGGCGUAAAGGGCUCGUAGGCGGCCAACUAAGUCAGACGUGAAAUCCCUCGGCUUAACCGGGGAACUGCGUCUGAUACUGGAUGGCUUGAGUUUGGGAGAGGGAUGCGGAAUUCCAGGUGUAGCGGUGAAAUGCGUAGAUAUCUGGAGGAACACCGGUGGCGAAGGCGGCAUCCUGGACCGACAUUGACGCUGAACGGCGAAAGCUAGGGGAGCAAACGGG
rnacentral:rRNA from 1 species